rnacentral:tRNA from 1 species
GGAGGUGUGGCUCAGUUGUAGAGCCCAUGCUUAGCAUGCAUGAGGCCUUAGGUUCAAUCCCCAGCACCA